GAUGAACGCUGGCGGCGUGCCUAAUACAUGCAAGUCGAGCGAACAGAUAAGGAGCUUGCUCCUUUGACGUUAGCGGCGGACGGGUGAGUUACACGUGGAUAACCUACCUAUAAGACUGGGAUAACUUCGGGAAACCGGAGCUAAUACCGGAUAACAUAUUGAACCGCAUGGUUCAAUAGUGAAAGGCGGCUUUGCUGUCACUUAUAGAUGGAUCCGCGCCGUAUUAGCUAGUUGGUAAGGUAACGGCUUACCAAGGCAACGAUACGUAGCCGACCUGAGAGGGUGAUCGGCCACACUGGAACUGAGACACGGUCCAGACUCCUACGGGAGGCAGCAGUAGGGAAUCUUCCGCAAUGGGCGAAAGCCUGACGGAGCAACGCCGCGUGAGUGAUGAAGGUCUUCGGAUCGUAAAACUCUGUUAUCAGGGAAGAACAAAUGUGUAAGCAACUGUGCACAUCUUGACGGUACCUGAUCAGAAAGCCACGGCUAACUACGUG
rnacentral:rRNA from 1 species